ensembl:lncRNA
GCCACGGCUGUCAAGGAACAGUUGAGGGAACUGGGCUUGUUUAGCUUGGAGAAGAGAAGGCUGCGGGGAGACCUCAUUGUGGCUUUCUGGUACUGAAAGGGAACGUAUAAACAGGAGGGGGAAUGGCUGUUUGUGAGGGUGGACAGUGAUAGGACAAGGGGGAAUGGUUUUAAACUGAGACAGGGGAGGUUUAGGUUGGAGAUGAGGAGGAAGUUUUUCCCCCAGAGGGUGGUGACGCACUGAACAGGUUGCCCAAGGAGGCUGUGGGUGCCCCAUCCCUGCAGGCAUUCAAGGCCAGGCUGGAUGUGGCUCUGGGCAGCCUGGGCUGCUGGUUGGCGACCCUGCACAUAGCAGGGGGUUGGAACUGGAUGAGCAUUGUGGGCCUUUGCAACCCAGGCCAUUCU